CUCCUCUUGUUAAAAAAUUUUAUUUGAAUUUUACAUGUCAAUCUCUUAAUUUGAUUUCUCAUUUUAAAUUAUAAUUUUUAAAUUUUCUUUUCAAAUUUCUCAUUUUGCCCACAAUAGUGGGAUUUCCCCUCGAACCCAUACACCCGACACACAAGUGCAAAAACUCAUGAGGAGCCUCUUGGUGUAUACAUGCUUGAUAGUCUCACACGGCUCGCUAGUUUGCCACGCGGAGCAACAUGUAUUGCGAGGCAUGUGGCUCGACAUUAUGGGCUGCCCUAGCAAAUGUCCUUUCAUGCACCUCGGUCAUGGCGACCAUGUUCACUCGCAGACCCUCUCAGCACACAAGGCGCUUAUCAGAGUCCUUCUCACUUGCGCGCAGUGAGCUGCACGUACACAACGCGCUGGGUGCAUUUCCCAACAUACUUGGGUGCCUGGCAAUGUCUUGCGCGCACAUCAUGAAUGGCAUGACCAUGUUCUACCUUUUUCUAGUACUUUGGUGCCUAUAUAGCAUAGGACAAAGGCUACCGACCUCUUCUUUUGAUCUGUGCUCAUUUUGAUAUGUUUUUUGCAUCUGUUACUCAUUAAACAUCAUCAUUUAAUCAUCAUAAACAACUUACACAAAAAAUUAAACACAGAAAACUCAUUAAAUCAAAAUAAAGUGCAUGGACACACUCACCCUCCACUGUCAAGUUAAAAUCGAAGCCUUUUCAUGAUUUUUGGAAGAUUCUUACCAAUUUAAUGCUUCUAAAAAUCCUAUUACUUGCGUCAAUUAGAUUAUUGAAGUUCUUACCUUCUUGAAGACUCAAUUUUGGGCCUAAAUGCAUGAGAGAAUAUGAGUUUCUAAAUGGGAAAUCAACUACAACUCAAGGAGGUUGUCAUUGCAAAAUAAAGACUAUUUUUGUGCUUAUUUAUGGUUUUUGAAAUAGGAAAUCACCGUAGAAAAUUAUUUACAAGAGUUUUAAGUUAAGGCUUACCUAUUUAAAACUUAAAACCGAAAGAGAGGACUCGGUUACCUAAAAUAGGUUGUGUGAGCAUUCCUGGGCAGAACUGAGCUUUUAUUUAAAGAAGUAUGAGUUUUUAAGCUCUAACUAAAAGAGGAUGAAUGAGUAAGUGAAUUGGAAGUCAAAAACAUAAGAAACUAUAGAAGAGCUAACCUAAUUCGAAAGAGAAGUGUCGUUGCAGAACAACAACCCGACCUGUACAGCCUUUGUCAUUCACUUCCUCUCUCUCUCUCUCUCUCUCUAUCUAGUUCUUACUCUCUCUAGUCAAUAAAAAAUGAAGAAGAAGAGCAAAGAGAUGUAGUUUUAAAUGGAAUUUCAGGGAGAUUCUAGCCUUCGAAUGCAUAUGAUCCAAGUCGUUGAUGGUGGUUGGUGGCCAACCAUUUUGGAUAAGGGAGUUAAUUGGUAGCCACUUUGUGGGAGAAAGAAGGGAACUCGCCUGUCACACAAGAACUCAGUGUUAGUGGCAUCCCAUUAGGAAACAGUGUAGGGAAACUGACUUACAUGCCCAAAGGGAUGUCCAUGGUAGGGAGUGCCCUGCCUGCGAGUUCACUAGUGCUAUGUUCCCCUUGCUCGCAUGGAUAGGCAUGCGUGAGGGAAAUUUUUCACGUGAGGUUGCUUGCUAAUGGGAAGUGGUGCUACAAAACAUAGCUUGUGCAUGUAUGUCUGCAAUUGGGGCACUUUUAUAAGCCUACACGCAGAUGCUGUGCGUUAGGGUUGCCCGCGAGUGGGGGAUUUUCUGUCCAAUUAAUGUGGGUCAAGUAGGGCAAAUUCUAGGU
rnacentral:lncRNA from 1 species